rnacentral:rRNA from 1 species
AGUGAACGCUGGCGGUAGGCCUAACACAUGCAAGUCGAACGGCAGCACAGUAAGAGCUUGCUCUUACGGGUGGCGAGUGGCGGACGGGUGAGGAAUACAUCGGAAUCUACUUUUUCGUGGGGGAUAACGUAGGGAAACUUACGCUAAUACCGCAUACGACCUACGGGUGAAAGCAGGGGAUCUUCGGACCUUGCGCGAUUGAAUGAGCCGAUGUCGGAUUAGCUAGUUGGCGGGGUAAAGGCCCACCAAGGCGACGAUCCGUAGCUGGUCUGAGAGGAUGAUCAGCCACACUGGAACUGAGACACGGUCCAGACUCCUACGGGAGGCAGCAGUGGGGAAUAUUGGACAAUGGGCGCAAGCCUGAUCCAGCCAUACCGCGUGGGUGAAGAAGGACUUCGGGUUGUAAAGCCCUUUUGUUGGGAAAGAAAAGCAGCAGGUUAAUACCCAGCUGUUCUGACGGUACCCAAAGAAUAAGCACCGGCUAACUUCGUG